GACAGAGGAGCCAAGCGUUGUCCGGAUUGACUGGGCGUAAAGCGCACGCAGGCGGUCGCGCGCGUGGGGUGUGAAAUCUGGCCGCUUAACGGCCAGGCGCCAUCCCAUACGGCGCGACUGGAGUGAUGCAGAGGUCGAUGGAAUUGCCGGCGUAGUGGUGAAAUGCGUAGAGAUCGGCAGGAACACCCAGGGGGAAACCAGUCGACUGGGCAUCUACUGACGCUGAGGUGCGAGAGCGUGGGGAGCGAACCGG
rnacentral:rRNA from 1 species